rnacentral:rRNA from 1 species
CGCGGCCUAUCAGCUUGUUGGUGGGGUGACGGCCUACCAAGGCGACGGCGGGUAACCGGCCUGAGAGGGCGACCGGUCACACUGGGACUGAGACACGGCCCAGACUCCUACGGGAGGCAGCAGUGGGGAAUAUUGCGCAAUGGGCGGAAGCCUGACGCAGCGACGCCGCGUGGGGGAUGACGGCCUUCGGGUUGUAAACCUCUUUCAGCGGGGACGAAGCCCUUUGGGGUGACGGUACCUGCAGAAGAAGCGUCGGCUAACUACGUGCCAGCAGCCGCGGUAAUACGUAGGGCGCGAGCGUUGUCCGGAAUUAUUGGGCGUAAAGAGCUCGUAGGCGGUUUGUCGCGUCGGAUGUGAAAGCCCAUGGCUUAACUGUGGGUCUGCAUUCGAUACGGGCAGACUAGAGGUAGGUAGGGGAGCAUGGAAUUCCCGGUGUAGCGGUGAAAUGCGCAGAUAUCGGGAGGAACACCGGUGGCGAAGGCGGUGCUCUGGGCCUUACCUGACGCUGAGGAGCGAAAGCGUGGGGAGCGAACAGGAUUAGAUACCCUGGUAGUCCACGCCGUAAACGUUGGGCGCUAGGUGUGGGGGUCUUCCACGGAUUCCGCGCCGUAGCUAACGCAUUAAGCGCCCCGCCUGGGGAGUACGGA